rnacentral:tRNA from 1 species
GGCUUGGUGGUCUAGUGGUAUGAUUCUCGCUUAGGGUAAACCCGAGAGCAAAGUGUGCGAGAGGUCCCGGGUUCAAUCCCCGGCCAAGCCC